AUGGCUGGGCUGCAGAGGUCUUCACUGACAUUCAGGAGGUCAGGAUCAUCAGGCAUGGUCUGGGGCGAGAGGCUCAUGUCGGAUGAACAUAGCCAGUGGACCUCAGGGGAACCAGAGUUCAGGGAGCUACGGCACUCCCGCAGCGUUGGGUCUGUCGGGGCGCAGCGCAGGCGCAACGAUGGCACCGAGCGAGGCAGCCAGGCGUUCCGGACACGGCGCGUAGCCCCGGCCAUGGAUCCACCGUCGCCCAAGGUUCCUGGCUGCAUCUUCUGUGGGAUUUUCAGGAAGACAGCACCUUCACAGCCAUCUAAGGCCAGAAGGUACCACUAG
rnacentral:rRNA from 1 species